GAUGAACGCUGGCGGCGUGCUUAACACAUGCAAGUCGAACGAAGCACUUUAUUUGAUUUCCUUCGGGACUGAUUAUUUUGUGACUGAGUGGCGGACGGGUGAGUAACGCGUGGGUAACCUGCCUUGUACGGGGGGAUAACAGUUGGAAACGGCUGCUAAUACCGCAUAAGCGCACAGCAUCGCAUGAUGCAGUGUGAAAAACUCCGGUGGUAUAAGAUGGACCCGCGUUGGAUUAGCUAGUUGGUGAGGUAACGGCCCACCAAGGCGACGAUCCAUAGCCGACCUGAGAGGGUGACCGGCCACAUUGGGACUGAGACACGGCCCAAACUCCUACGGGAAGCAGCAGUGGGGAAUAUUGCACAAUGGGCGAAAGCCUGAUGCAGCGACGCCGCGUGAGCGAAGAAGUAUUUCGGUAUGUAAAGCUCUAUCAGCAGGGAAGAUAAUGACGGUACCUGACUAAGAAGCACCGGCUAAAUACGUG
rnacentral:rRNA from 1 species